ACAAAGGCUCUUUUCAGAGCCACUCACUUUUACCCGGAAAAUGAG
rfam:Cricetulus griseus cell line CHO-K1, whole genome shotgun sequence.